AUUGAACGCUGGCGGCAGGCCUAACACAUGCAAGUCGAGCGAGCGGCGGACGGGUGAGUAAUGUAUGGGGACUGCCCGAUAGAGGGGGAUAACUACUGGAAACGGUGGCUAAUACCGCAUACUAUCGGAUAACCCAUAUGGGAUUAGCUAGUAGGUGGGGUAAAGGCUCACCUAGGCGACGCUCUCUAGCUGGUCUGAGAGGAGGAUCAGCAACACUGAGACUGAGACACGGCCCAGACUCCUACGGAGGCAGCGUGGGGGAAUAUUGCACAGUGGGCGCAAGCAUGAUGCAGCCAUGCAGCGUGUAUGAAGAAGGCCUUAGGAUUGUAAAGUACUUUCAACGGGGAGGCGUUACCCGGAGAAGAAGCACCGGCUAACUCCGUGCCAGCAGCCGCGGUAAUUC
rnacentral:rRNA from 1 species